rnacentral:rRNA from 1 species
GGUGGAUGAGUGGCGAACGGGUGAGUAACACGUGAGUAACCUGCCCCUGAUUUCGGGAUAAGCCUGGGAAACUGGGUCUAAUACCGGAUACGACCAUCCCUCGCAUGAGGGUUGGUGGAAAGUUUUUCGAUCGGGGAUGGGCUCGCGGCCUAUCAGCUUGUUGGUGGGGUAAUGGCCUACCAAGGCGACGACGGGUAGCCGGCCUGAGAGGGCGACCGGCCACACUGGGACUGAGACACGGCCCAGACUCCUACGGGAGGCAGCAGUGGGGAAUAUUGCACAAUGGGGGAAACCCUGAUGCAGCGACGCAGCGUGCGGGAUGACGGCCUUCGGGUUGUAAACCGCUUUCAGCAGGGAAGAAGCCGUAAGGUGACGGUACCUGCAGAAGAAGUACCGGCUAACUACGUGCCAGCAGCCGCGGUAAUACGUAGGGUACGAGCGUUGUCCGGAAUUAUUGGGCGUAAAGAGCUCGUAGGUGGUUGGUCACGUCUGCUGUGGAAACGCAACGCUUAACGUUGCGCGUGCAGUGGGUACGGGCUGACUAGAGUGCAGUAGGGGAGUCUGGAAUUCCUGGUGUAGCGGUGAAAUGCGCAGAUAUCAGGAGGAACACCGGUGGCGAAGGCGGGACUCUGGGCUGUAACUGACACUGAGGAGCGAAAGCAUGGGGAGCGAACAGGAUUAGAUACCCUGGUAGUCCAUGCCGUAAACGUUGGGCACUAGGUGUGGGGGACAUUCCACGUUCUCC